GACGAACGCUGGCGGCGUGCUUAACACAUGCAAGUCGAACGGACAGGCCCUGCUUUUGUGGGGUGCUCGAGUGGCGAACGGGUGAGUAACACGUGAGUAACCUGCCCUUGACUUUGGGAUAACUUCAGGAAACUGGGGCUAAUACCGGAUAGGAGCUCCUGCUGCAUGGUGGGGGUUGGAAAGUUUCGGCGGUUGGGGAUGGACUCGCGGCUUAUCCGCUUGUUGGUGGGGUAGUGGCUUACCAAGGCUUUGACGGGUAGCCGGCCUGAGAGGGUGACCGGCCACAUUGGGACUGAGAUACGGACCAGAAUCCUACGGGAGGCAGCAGUGGGGAAUAUUGCACAAUGGGCGGAAGCCUGAGGCAGCAACGCCGCGUGCGGGAUGACGGCCUUCGGGUUGUAAACCGCUUUCGCCUGUGACGAAGCGUGAGUGACGGUAAUGGGUAAAGAAGCACCGGCUAACUACGUG
rnacentral:rRNA from 1 species